AAUUUAGGAAUAACAUUAAAAUAAAAGUUCUAUUAUAUAUAUAAAAUAUUCCUGCAUCUUAUCAAGAAAUAUUUCUCUCAUUUAAAUUAGGAAAAAGUCUCUCCAAAUCCCACUAAGAUUUUGAACCAUAAUUAUAAUAGUUUUGCAUUGUUUUCUCAUACCAUGACAAAGUAACUUCUAGUGAUAAUCUCCACCAUGUGAUGAUAACCACCGUGGCCAUAAAGAGUUCUUAUGUUGUCCAAUGAUGAAAAGAUGUAGCAGCCCAAUGAGCAGACAACCAUGCACUUCUGGCUAGAGGCAUGCUCCAUUUAAUCUCAUCAAAUGCAUAAGUCAUUCAGGAUUGUAAAAUCUCUCACUGUUGUAUGAAAGCUGAUUAAUAUUAGAUUAUGAGAAUAUGCAUGUGGGAUUUGUAUUUGGUUUGAAAACUCGACUUGGAAGAUCUCAAAGAUGCAAUGAUUUGUUCAAAGCUUACUGAAAUCCCUAUGAGAAUACAAAUGGUAGCCAAAGGAACUUGAGAUAUGGAAUUUGUAAUAAUUGUUGUUUUGGACAAUGUAGGCAUCGUUGCCAUCAUUCUAGCUAGUUGCCUUUCUUUUAACAAAAUGUACUGUGAUGUUAGUGGUAAAUU
rnacentral:misc_RNA from 1 species